CUCCAUGUACAAAUACUUUUGGGGACUUUUGCCAAGCCUAGUUGUUGCUCAUAUAAUUAAUAUAAAAUACCUAACUUAGAGUUGUACAACUUCUCUUUUCUAAACAAAUUUAAUCUUAUCCAAAGUGAGUUUCCCAUUUGUAUUUGUGGCUUAUAGCAAGUGCCCUGAGUGCAUUUUGCGUUUAGAUUAAUAACCACUUUGUCAUCACACACCUCCCUGGGGCUACCCUUUUGGGGCUUUUUUUUGGUUUUUUGGUUGUUUUUUUUUCCUUUCAUAAAACAAAGUCAGUAUGAUUCUUUCUAGUGUCUGUAGAGGGGGAAGUCUAUGAAGUGAUCUGUCCCCUUUACUCAGAUUAUUCAUUUCACAUUUGGAAACUGGUCUUAUUUUUAGUAAGCAGGGCAGUGGCACAGGCUGCCUAGCUUAAAUGGUUUAGUUGGGGAUUUUUCUUAUUUUGCGUUGUUGCCAGUUUAGUGUGAGAUUCCAGAUGGGCUGAAGUGAACUGUUUCACUUGCUGUCACUACUCAGGACUGCCAUCAGAAGGAGAUCACCAGCAGUGCUUACACUGCUUUCCAUAUCACUAACUAGGAGCGCAAGAAAUAACAUUCAGCUCAUUGUAGGGCUUCUGAAAUGAAUGUGUGCUAGCUUGUUCUCUCCAGUGCAGAAGAACAGUCAGCCACUGGAUAUCUCUGUCUUUCCUCCUGUCUUCACUUCUAGGUCUGCUGGGGACGGGUCAAGUGGUGCUGCCCAGGUUUUCAACAGCCUUGCAGGUAGAAGAAGAUCUGUCAUCUAUCCCAACGAUAGAGACGAGUUUUCUUUCCCAGCCUGUGGAAAAAUAAUUUCCUGGAUUAUCACCUAGAAAUUGAAAAGUGCCAACAUGAGCAACAAUGAGAGGCCAGUGAACCCUGGCUUAUCUCCACUGACUGAGUGCCUGAAGAGAAAGAGGGGAAGACCAAAAAAGCAGCCACAGCAGGAGGCUGUGGGGCCAUUGCCAAUGAAGAAGCCACGAGGAAGGCCAAAAGGAAGCAAGAAAGUGAAUGCUCUAUCUCAAAUGGUAGAACCUUCUGCCAAGAAAAGGCCAAGAGGGAGGCCCCGCAAGUGGCCUCAACUAGUGAUCCAAGAGGGAGCGUGUCAGGAAGGAACUCCUCAGGGAAGCAGUGACUUGAAUUUGAACUCACCGCCUGCCACACAAGUUUCCUCUCAGGCUCCAGGGCCCGUAUCGCUUCCUGCCACCGAGCCGUGCACUGACAUCAGCAGAGCCGCAGGCUCACGGAGGAUGAGCUCACCUCCGGCCUGAGCGCUGCCUUUUUGCCAUGCUCUGAGCAUCACCCGAAACCACAGCCAAU
ensembl:lncRNA